rnacentral:rRNA from 1 species
UUCUGACCGUAAACGAUGCCAACUAGCGAUCCGCCGGUGGCCUACAGGCCCUGGUGGGGAGCUUCCCGGAAACGAAAGUCUUCCGGUUCCGGGGGAAGUAUGGUUGCAAAGCUGAAACUUAAAGGAAUUGACGGAAGGGCACCACCAGGAGUGGAGCCUGCGGCUUAAUUUGACUCAACACGGGAAAACUCACCCGGCCCGGACACCGUAAGGAUUGACAGAUUGAUAGCUCUUUCAUGAUUCGGUGGUUGGUGGUGCAUGGCCGUUCUUAGUUCGUGGAUCGAUUUGUCUGGUUUAUUCCGAUAACGAGCGAGACUCUAGCCUACUAACUAGUGCGGGCAUUGUUUCUGUGCCUCGCCGCACUUCUUAGAGGGAUUGGCUGCGUUUAGCAGCACGAAACGGAGCAAUAACAGGUCUGUGAUGCCCUUAGAUGUCCGGGGCUGCACGCGCGCUACACUGGCAAAGGCAGCGUGCUUGUCCGCCUCCGAAAGGAGCCGGUAAACCCAUGAAAAUUUGCCGUGAUUGGGAUCGGAAAUUGCAAUUAUUUUCCGUGAACGAGGAAUUCCAAGUAAGUGCGAGUCAUCAGCUCGCGUUG